UAAUGUUUAUGAAGGUACUCUGCAAAAUGAUAUUAAACUACAAAAUUGUUACUAAGAAAAUCUAUAGGAAAUUACAUACAGCAUGUCUUGGAUACUUAAGCAACUGUGAAAUAAUAAAAUUAACUGACCUAGAUCUAAUCUCCAUUUUUACUAUGCUACUUAUUGUGCAGAACAUUUAUUAACUGGAAGUAGUACAUCCCUACAGAGCUAGUGCUGGGGUUCUUACAGUGACCAGUGCUAGGAAAUGCGUAUUAUCAAAAUAUAUAUUUACAGUAGGAUACAAAAACCACAGCUCAUCAUUACUAGAUGGGGAUAUAAUCCUAUAAACUCUAUUUAAAAGAUGACUUGAGCAGUAUGGAAAAUGGCAGAAUAAGGAAUCGUUUCAAGAAAAUUCAAAAAAUUAUUUUUGGUUCUCAAAGGCAGAAGAUGAGUUUGUCUAUUGGCCAAGUCGAGGAGAAUCCAUGAACUGUGAGGCUUUUACUGUCACCCUUAUCAGCAAAGACAGACUGUGCCUCUCUAGUGAAAAACAAAUUAUCAUCCAUGACUUUAUCCUUGAAGCAACACAGGUGGAAACUGAGAAGGAUCAGAGAUGAAAUGAUUGAACCUGAGCCCAUGAAGGUCCUACUGGCAGUGCCAACACCCAGUUCUUCAGAUGCCAGACCAAGUGUCCCAUGCUCCAUUGUGUGCAGCUCAGAAAUCACAAGGGGCGAGAGAGCUCUGACUUCUGACUGCUGAUCCCAUCCAGAAGACAAAGAACAUCCUGAAGAAUCAUCUCCAUUCAUCGGCCUUUUCUCUACCACUAGUUCUAUUCUUUCAUAGAAAUACACUUUGGUUACAAAUACAAUGAACUCUUUCACUUGGUUCUACUCAGGAAAGAAUGCUUAUAAAAUUCACAAUUGAAAUAAACAAAAAUUUCCAGUUAUUAUUAUGUUAUGCUUACAAGAAAUGUAGAUUGAGUUUACAAAAAUUUCUGUGAAGGAAAAUUUAGGUUUCAAGAAAUUAAUUUCUAGUCUUGAAAUAUACUUCAUAUUCCUUGGAGAACCCAUGCUGAUUAUUAGAAGGUAAAUCAUUGGUGUGUUUACCAAAUUGUUUGACAGGAAUGGCUUCCAUGUUACUUGAGGAAAUAAAAUGAUAUUCAAAGCCACAUAGAAUAUUUCCUAAAAGCAAAUGACACCAAUAAAACAAAUCAUACUUACUCAA